AUGCACGCUGGCGGCGUGCCUAAUACAUGCAAGUCGAGCGAACAGAUGAGGAGCUUGCUCCUCUGACGUUAGCGGCGGACGGGUGAGUAACACGUGGAUAACCUACCUAUAAGACUGGGAUAACUUCGGGAAACCGGAGCUAAUACCGGAUAAUAUAUUGAACCGCAUGGUUCAAUAGUGAAAGACGGUUUUGCUGUCACUUAUAGAUGGAUCCGCGCCGCAUUAGCUAGUUGGUAAGGUAACGGCUUACCAAGGCGACGAUGCGUAGCCGACCUGAGAGGGUGAUCGGCCACACUGGAACUGAGACACGGUCCAGACUCCUACGGGAGGCAGCAGUAGGGAAUCUUCCGCAAUGGGCGAAAGCCUGACGGUGCAACGCCGCGUGAGUGAUGAAGGUCUUCGGAUCGUAAAACUCUGUUAUUAGGGAAGAACAAAUGUGUAAGUAACUAUGCACGUCUUGACGGUACCUAAUCAGAAAGCCACGGCUAACUACGUG
rnacentral:rRNA from 1 species